CCUACGGGUGGCAGCAGUGGGGAAUAUUGCACAAUGGCGGAAACCCUGAUGCAGCAACGCCGCGUGAAGGAAGACGGUUUUCGGAUUGUAAACUCCUGUUCUUAGUGAAGAAUAAUGACGGUAGCUAAGGAGCAAGCCACGGCUAACUACGUGCGAGCAGCCUCGGUAAUACGUAGGUGGCACGCGUUGUCCGGAAUUACUGGGGUUAAAGGGAGCGCAGGCGGGAAGCCAAGGCAUCUGUGAAAACUCCGGGCUUAACUUGUAUACUGCAGUUGAAACUGGUUUUCUUGAGUGAAGUAGAGGUUGGCGGAAUGCCGGGUGUAGCGGUGAAAUGCGUAGAUAUUCGGAGGAACACCGGUGGCGAAGGCGGCCAACUGGGCUUUAACUGACGCUGAGGCUCGAAAGUGUGGGGAGCGAACAGGAUUAGAUACCCUGGUAGUC
rnacentral:rRNA from 1 species